rnacentral:tRNA from 1 species
UAAAAUCCGUCGAUUUUUAAAAUCGUGAGGGUUCAAGUCCCUCUAUCCCCC